AUCCAGCUGACAAGUCCCAUAUAGGACGAAUCGCAUGUCCUGGAU
rnacentral:hammerhead_ribozyme from 1 species